rnacentral:rRNA from 1 species
UACGUAGGGUGCAAGCGUUAAUCGGAAUUACUGGGCGUAAAGGGUGCGCAGGCGGUUUGUUAAGUCAGAUGUGAAAUACCCGGGCUCAACCUGGGGACUGCAUUUGAGACUGGCAGGCUAGAGUGUGUCAGAGGGGGGUAGAAUUCCACGUGUAGCAGUGAAAUGCGUAGAGAUGUGGAGGAAUACCGAUGGCGAAGGCAGCCCCCUGGGAUAACACUGACGCUCAUGCACGAAAGCGUGGGGAGCAAACAGG